CUCAAGUGGAAGAAUUAGGAGACCAGAAAUGGCACCUAGAAACUGAGGUUUUUGAUGGAGGAGAUCUUUUCUGUGUAUAUUACCUAGUAUCCUGGGAUCUUCAAUGCUGUUAGAAAAGGCCCUUACCCUGCCUGGUCUCAGACUCCGAAGAAAGUGGCUGUGGUGCACUGCAGAAAGAUAUUUGACAUGGCUGUGACGGCUGCAUUGAGAAGAGUUGAUUGCUAAACAAAGGAAAGCAAACAAAGAUUUGGAACUGGGUUACUCGUCAGACCGGACAUCAGUCCAAAAAAUAAAGAUCCUGGAAUUCAUUUAAAGGUGGACUGAAAACUUAAAUGGACAUUGGUUUAUUACAAAAGAAAAUGAAAGGGGUUCACCUAUUAAUACUUUUUUGUUCAGUUGGUUUCAGAUAGUUCACCGAUGUUCAACAUGGCUGUGACUGUGGCAUUAACUGAGAUGAGUUGCCAAACAAUGGAGAGCAAACAAAGAUUUGGACCGAGCAUCAGUCCAAAGAAAAAAGAUCCUGGAAUUCCCAUAAUGGAUAAACAGGAUUACAGCUACUUUCUACUCCCUCCCUUCUCAGUCUAAAAGAAAAACCGAGAGAGAGAAGUUCAACUGAAGGAGUGAUUCCAGACAGAGAAACAAAAAACAUUAAAUUGUAGUAUGUUUAACAUGAGUUUGACAGUGCCAUUAACUGAGAUGAGUUGAUUGCCAAACAAUGGAGAGCAAAUAAAGAUUUGGACCGGACAUCAGUCCAAUGAAUAAGAGAUCCUGGAAUUCAAUCAAAGAUGUUAAACAUGGCUGUGACUGUGGCAUUAACUGAGAUGAGUUGAGCAUCAGUCCAAAGAAUAAAGAUUCUCUUCCUGCUUCUUCACUCUUCAAAUUUCCAGGAUCAGACCCGUGCGCAGUAGAAUGAUCGUUGGCUUUUCGGCUUUUUGCUUUUCGCUCUACUGCACAUGUGCACCCGUGAGACGAAAAGAUACUCACUCCAUGGUGCUCGCAGGAAUAACACCAAGCUGGUGGAGUUUUCUGCUGAUAGGAGCACCGGCCCAGGGUUUCAAUCACUUGGGGGUGCCUAACCUGAGGUCUCUGAGGAAGUGUGCAAGCCCGAAAUGCUCUGUAAUUGAAUGUUUAAAUAAUACCUAUUUUACUUACGAUCUGGAAACAUGCGAUUUUUGAAAAAAGGCCCAGGAGUGCGCUACUCACAAUGAUAGAUGUGCUGAAAAUGUUCCUCCCUAGAGACCGACUCGGAGCGGUGGCAACCGGGUCACAUCGUGAAUGGGAUGUUAAACGUGACUGUGGCAUUAACUGAGAUGAGUUGAUGAGCCAAACAAUGGAGAGCAAACAAAGAUUUGGACUUUAAUUGUCGGACUGGGAAUCAGUCCAAAGAAUAAAGAUUCUGAAGAUUUAUCUUCCUGCUUUUUCGAUCUUCAAAUUUCCCAGGUCAGACCCGUGCGCAGUAGAAUGAAAGUCGGCCUUUUAGUUUUAAGUCCUGCUCUUUGCUCUACUGCAUAUGCGCAGCUGCGAGACGAAAGAAGAAACGGGAAGAUAAUCUGUGGUGCUCGCAGGAUUAACCCCAAGAUGGUGGAAUUUUCUGCCAAUAGGAGCACCGGCCCAGGGUUUCAGAUGUUUAACAUGGCUGUGACAGUGGCAUUAACUGAGACAACAGAGAGCAAAUAAAGAUUUGGACCUUGUUAAUCAUCAGACCCGACAUCAGUCCAAUGAAUACAGAUCCUGGAAUUCAGUUAAAGGUGGACUGACAACUUAAAUGGAUAUAAAAGUUUAAGGAACAGUAACUCCAAAAACUAAGUAUCUAUCAAAGUAAUUUAAAAUGUACUGUUGCCCUGCAUUGGUAAAAGGUUUGCUUCAUAAAGACUACUAUAGUUUAUAUAAUAAGCUACAGGUAGGGAUAGGCGAAUUUGACACUUCGUUUCGAC